rnacentral:rRNA from 1 species
ACCUACGGGGGGCAGCAGUGAGGAAUAUUGGUCAAUGGUCGGGAGACUGAACCAGCCAAGCCGCGUGAGGGAUGAAGGUACAGAGUAUCGUAAACCUCUUUUGUCAGGGAACAAAGGCGGGGACGCGUCCCCGGAUGAGUGUACCUGAAGAAAAAGCAUCGGCUAACUCCGUGCCAGCAGCCGCGGUAAUACGGAGGAUGCGAGCGUUAUCCGGAUUUAUUGGGUUUAAAGGGUGCGUAGGCGGGACGGGAAGUCAGCGGUAAAAAUGCGGAGGCCAACUCCGUCGAGCCGGUGAAACUGCCGUU